AGUCGAGCGGAAGGCCCCUUCGGGGGUACUCGAGCGGCGAACGGGUGAGUAACACGUGAGCAACCUGCCCCUGACUCUGGGAUAAGCCCGGGAAACUGGGUCUAAUACCGGAUAUGACGCAUUCUCGCAUGGGAUGUGUGUGGAAAGUUUUUCGGUUGGGGAUGGGCUCGCGGCCUAUCAGCUUGUUGGUGGGGUGAUGGCCUACCAAGGCGACGACGGGUAACCGGCCUGAGAGGGCGACCGGUCACACUGGGACUGAGACACGGCCCAGACUCCUACGGGAGGCAGCAGUGGGGAAUAUUGCGCAAUGGGCGGAAGCCUGACGCAGCGACGCCGCGUGGGGGAUGACGGCCUUCGGGUUGUAAACCUCUUUCAGCAGGGACGAAGCUAACGUGACGGUACCUGCAGAAGAAGCGCCGGCUAACUACGUGCCAGCAG
rnacentral:rRNA from 1 species